ensembl:miRNA
ACCCGGAGUGGAGGGGACAGGGGCCCAGCCAAACCCUCAGUCCCAGUUCCUUCCACUUCUGGCCA